AGCUGCGAUUGCACGUUGAAUUCGCCAGUUCCCGAUGGAACACUAAAGUUAAGUAACGUUGCACGUGGUUAGUAUCCGAAUUGGCUCAAAAGAGUGCUCGCACUUACAUUUU
rnacentral:rRNA from 1 species